rnacentral:rRNA from 1 species
UACGAGGGGGGCAAAUGUUGUUCGGAAUCACUGGGCGUAAAGGGCGCGUAGGCGGCGUGACAAGUCACUUGUGAAAUCUCCGGGCUUAACUCGGAACGGUCAAGUGAUACUGUCGUGCUAGAGUACAGAAGGGGCAACUGGAAUUCUCGGUGUAGCGGUGAAAUGCGCAGAUAUCAGGAGGAACACCGAUGGCGAAGGCAGGUCUCUGGGCAUUAACUGACGCUGAGGAGCGAAAGCAUGGGGAGCGAACAGG